rnacentral:rRNA from 1 species
AAGUCGUAACAAGGUCUCCGUUGGUGAACCAGCGGAGGGAUCAUUACAGAGUUAAACAAAACUCCAAACCCUUUGUGAACCUUACCGCAAGUUGCCUCGGCGUGCGCUGCGGCUACCCCGCAGGCGCCCACCCUGGUGGGCGCCUGCCCNNNNNRCCGGCCUACGGCCCGCCGAAGGACCACUAAACUCUGCUUGAAAUACUGCAUUCUGAAUUAUUCAAACGAAAUAAGUUAAAACUUUCAACAACGGAUCUCUUGGUUCUGGCAUCGAUGAAGAACGCAGCGAAAUGCGAUAAGUAAUGUGAAUUGCAGAAUUCAGUGAAUCAUCGAAUCUUUGAACGCACAUUGCGCCCAUUAGUACUCUAGUGGGCAUGCCUAUUCGAGCGUCAUUUCGACCAUUAAGCCCUGCAGCUUAGCGUUGGGAGACUACGCCCCCGCGGCGUAGCUCCUCAAAGUCAGUGGCGGAGCUGGAGCACACUCUGAGCGUAGUAGACCUAUCUCGCUUCUGCGGUUGCCCCGGCCUCCUGCCGUAAAACCCCCUAUACUUCUAGUGGUUGACCUCGGAUUAGGUAGGAAUACCCGCUGAACUUAA